GCCAUAUCAUGUUGAAACAGCUGUUCCUGUAUGAUCACUGAAGUUAAGCAGCAUCAAGCCUGGUCAGUACCUGGAUGGGUGACUGCUUGGGAAUAUCAGGUGCU